UACGAAGGGGCUAGCGUUGCUCGGAAUCACUGGGCGUAAAGGGUGCGUAGGCGGGUCUUUAAGUCAGGGGUGAAAUCCUGGAGCUCAACUCCAGAACUGCCUUUGAUACUGAAGAUCUUGAGUUCGGGAGAGGUGAGUGGAACUGCGAGUGUAGAGGUGAAAUUCGUAGAUAUUCGCAAGAACACCAGUGGCGAAGGCGGCUCACUGGCCCGAUACUGACGCUGAGGCACGAAAGCGUGGGGA
rnacentral:rRNA from 1 species